UACCUUGUGACGUUCUCUGGGUGAACCCCCCCUUUUUUGUUCAGUUUCGCGCUCACCUUUGCCUGAACCUACCCGGCCCGGUCAGUACCGAGAGAGUCGCGAGUGCAACCACAGCUGUCGGAUCGUUCCAAGAGACGCGUCGUCGCUAUGAACAGUCCCAUCAACAGCGAGCAGCGUCCAUUUUCGGCGCAAUUCCCAAAGAAGCCCCAAAUUGGGGACGAAGUGAUUGUCAAGGCGCGGCUCAAGCCCAACGCCAAGGUAUUCUCAAUCAACUUCAUUCUGCCGACGCCUCCGCCCGUCCACAAGUCCCUGUCGGCACCAGCGUCCGUUGCGGAGUCCACCGUGGCAGCACAAGGUCAGGGUUGUUGUGGCAGGCUGGUGGGACCAGCGGCCAAGAGUUCCUCGCCCUACAUUGCGUACCACUUCAAGACCAUCUUCGGCGAAGACGACGAGGACGAAAGUGUGGUUGUUCAAAACUGGAAGAACGUGGUCUGGCAGCGUGAGGUUCGGGAACCGAACCGUUGGCUCCGAGACCGGACGCGGCCGUUUACGUUGAUCUUCCGGUUUCACCACGACACCAUCCGGGUGUUUGUAGAUCACACCCACCAGGCGCCCGAGUACGAGUUCGAGUAUCAGGUUCCGCUGGAGCGAAUCCGGCUCGUCGAGCUGUGGGACGACGUCGAAUUCGUCGAAGAAGUGACGUUCCGUUUCAAGAAUAUGAUUCGUAACGGCACUUAGAACAACCAAACGGUUGGAAAGCUUUGGCGCGCGCGCUUCGUGAGCCAUCGGAAUUCCAGCUGUCUGUACCCUAUCUAUUAACAACUUAAAACGCUCUGCAAACAUAUUUGCAUUUCUCUCAGCUUCAUCGGCACUCGUUGGAUCUGUCGCGUACUUUAAACGAGCGGACUUCCCCCACAUCACCAAUCUCUUUCAUUCAUCUUUUUCGACCUGCACACAUGCAGUCACACGUACAAACACGCAUAAUGAUGUCGCGACUCACGUGCUGGACGCCGCCGCCACCGCAGUAUUAAGAGGUAUUAAGUAUAUAUGCAGAGAUUCAUCAAGCACCACCUUGUUGUAUACGCUUUUAUGGAAGGAAUCGAAUGGAUUACAGCACCACAUUCAGGUGAUUCAAGUGGUUCAGAAGAGUCAUCGUCCUGAAGUGUGGGGAAUGGAUCAAUAAAGUGAAUAAUUCAGUGAGAAUUUGCAACUAUGUUGGGGGAAGUGAAUCCCUGAUGUCUAUGUUUGAAUAAGGAAGAGUAAACUUACACUCGAGUAUUACCACUCAACGCCCGAUGAACCACAAACAUUCUCUCUCUCACACUUAAUCUCUUCCUGCGAAACUAAUAAAAUGAAUGGUACUAUGAAUUGGUGCGGAGAUUCUUGAAGCUCCAGUACCGCGACCUACUACACACAGUUAGCGCCAUUCUCGCCAGAAGAGUUCCGACCGUCGAGCAGACAAAAUGCCGAAUUUUAUGGAAAGUUGUUCGUUCAAAAUGCACCCGAUUGGGCGGACCCUCGGCGAUGGAGACGAACUGGAGCUGAAGGGAAAUUUACAGCACAUGGACACUUGCUUUUCAGUUAACUUUCGCUUUGGAUCGGGAAUCGCCUACCAUUUUGGGGUGCGUCUUCACGAGGAGGGUCGUCACGAGGUUUUCCAGGGCUACAAAGACGACGCCCUGCCGGAUUGGGAGGAACACGAACCCGAGGAGUGGUCCUGCGAAGAUGCCACAUUGGACAUUACCUUUCGUCUGAGUGGGGAUGAGAUUUGGAUUUUGGUGGAUGGCGAAAAACAGUUUGAAACGUUUGAAAGCAGGGUGCCACUGGAGCAGAUCAUCAGUAUUGAGCUGAUGGACGAUAUCAACUGGGUGAAAGAGAUAAAGCUGAAGUUUAACACCAACGAGGUUGAAUAAGUGCACAAGUGAGUUGACAAUUUGUGACCUGAGAAAUUCAGUAUUGCAGUGCCUAACCAUUCUCGUUUAAUUUAUGAAAAGGUCCUUUCCAAAAGGUUUUUUUUAAGCAGGUAAUCUUGAUUUAUUCAAACUGCCUUAUUUUCAAAAUUUUGAGAGUAAAUAAAAAAACCCAGCUGCUAAA